ensembl:lncRNA
ACAUACAGCUACAAAAUGGAUUUUAAAAAGAUUCUAGAAACUUCUGCCCACCUGCUCACCCACUCCCACUCCCAAUGAUCACAUUACCCCCAUCUUUCAGAACUUCCACUGGCUUACCAUCCCCCAGCUAAUUCACUUCAAAAUCCUCCUUAUCCCCGACAAAUCUCUCCAUAACUUGGCUCCCCCUUACCUGAAUGAACCUCUCCACUGACACACUGCCACCUGUACUCUCUGCUCUGCUGAUGUUGGCCGCCUAUCUAUCAACCUUCCGGACCAAAUGCCGGACCUGAGGUGACAAGGCUUUCUCCAAUGCCACUCCCACCCUCUGGAGCUCACUCCCUAAAAGCAUCAGAGAAUGCUGCUUUGUGUUCCUACCUACUUUUUAAAUCAUCUAGUGUCUAGAAAAGCACUAUAUGAGUAGAAAGAUCUAAAGGAAUGGUGCUGGACAUCAUGCUUGGGAAAAGUACAUGGUUAAAGGAGAAGAGGGAGGUAAAGAAUCAGAUGGAUAGACGGUGUGACCAACAUUUGACCUUGUAUUUAAAUUGCAGUGGCUGCUUAUUACUUUAAUGUAGACCUUGUUCUUGCAUCACACACCCUAAAGAAAUAUGUGAUUGUUUAACUUCAGCCAAAAGCACUAAUUUGAUUUUCCUCAACUCUACACAAGUUGUAACUAAACAUCAAACUCUUCUGGGCUUUGUAUUCCCCAUCUGCCAGUGAAUGAGGAGUUUAACAGGACAAUGUUUACUGAGCAUCUAUGGCCUGGUAUGGAGAAGUGGCUUCUGGUGACUGUGCUGGGACUGGAAAUGGUCGUGGGAGUUGUGGGAAACAGUCUUGUUCUGCUUGUCAAAGUCAUGUGUAGAGGCCAAUUCUGCUGUCGUUACUGGUUUCCUUUCAUCAGUCUCACCCUAUCAGAUCUAGGUACAAUGUUCACUGACACCACAGAUCAUAUAUUUAGUUUUCUUCAAUAGUCGUCUAUUGAUCCACAUCAUCAGUUCAUUUGAUUCUGGUAAUCUAACACAUUUACUACAUUGUCUGACAUGUAAUUUGAGUGCAGGAAUUCCUUUCUGAAAAUGAGCCACUGUGUUCUCAAGGCUGCUCCGUCCUUAUCAUCUCUGGCUCCAUGCUGGCCAUUCUGACAGGAGGUCAGAGGUCACCAUGGUGUGAAGUAGUCAGCCUGCUGAAGUUUGCCUUCAUCACCUCCUCUAUAGGAAGCAUAGCUGUCCUCUGUGUGCAGCGGCUGAUUGGCAUGGCCUUCAGAGGAAGUGCUCUCUUCGUUGUCAUGGUGACAGCGUGCUUGGUUUCUUGGGUGACAGGAGCUGUGUUCGGGAGCAUCCCUGUUGUUUACGCCUGGAUCAGUGAUGAGGAGGCGGAUCUUUCUGAAGUGGCUCCUCUUUUGGUGGCCUCCUACACAAUCUGCUACACUCCCUUUGUUGUGUCUGAGCUGAUCCUGCUGGGUAGGAUGGACCUGUCUCCAGCACCUGAUUGGUUAAGGACAUUAUCCUCCGUUAUGUCAUACCUGGACUGUGGUUUAAACCCUCUUAUCUACUGCACCCAUCAGAGCUUCAGGGAGGCAGGUCUGGCACUGUUAUGGACUAAAAGGAAACCAAUGUCAGAGCCUGUUCUCACUGCUGUCAUUAAGCAUUAAAUGUAAACAUGUGAGGGUUGAUAUAUAAAAUUCAAAAGGUGAGCCCAAAAAUACGCAGAUUUUUAAAAUAUAACUGCCAAGCAAAUUUGAAGCAUGCUUGUUGUACCCUGUUAUAAAUAAUUAAAGAAAGAAAAUGUGAAUUAGACUUGUUUGCAUUGUCUAUUUUGAAGUGAACUAACUAGUCAACAUCAUGUCAUCAGGGAGUGACGCUAUAGGCUUCAUUACACAUUACUGUAAUAAACAGAGCAUUAAAAAACAGAAACAAAAACAGUUGUGUGCCAAUUGUUUAAAAGCCAUAAAGAAGAAGAAGAAACUAAUACAAUUGUGUCCAUCUGUGUGAGAAAAUGGAGAGGGGUCUUCAGGAAUUGUUUUCAGUCAGGUAAAUGGAAAUUAUUCUUUCAUGUUUGCAUGUUUACUGCUGUCUGGAUGUGAAGGCUCUUAAACAGCAUAUCUCUGCCUUAAAAGGAGGCCACUUUUGUCAUACAGUGUGUGCUCUGAAUGACCUGAAACAGCUGUUGCCUUCAUAUUUAUCAUAUCUGGACACACUGUGACAUUUGAGACAACAUACGAUAUUAAGACUUUUUUGCAUUUUUGACAUUUUUGACGACAUACAAAAAUUUAUUUAUUUAUUUAUUUAUUUAUUUGGACGAGACAGUGCAUGUAAAUUAACAUGCAAUCUCAUAAUAGUUUACACAAGGUUGCAGUAAAUAUGCCGGAUUUAGCACAAGGCUAAUGUCCAUCCGUUCUCCCACACAUAAAAGAAAAAAAAAUACAGCGUUGCAGAUGUAUAAAAAACAACAUAGUAAAACAAAGACAAUGACAAUUAAUACUGACUGGGUUAAACCUACCCUAAAAAAGUGCUACUAUUUUAGAAAAGUGCUUUCUAGGCAUAGCCUUUCAUAUGAAAAAUGAAAAAAGAUUAUGAUGUUUCUUUUAUGACAUUUUUCACCACACACUACACUGCACGCCUGUGUUCCUAGAAGGCAAUUUGAAUCGGUAAAUUCAGUAAUUAGUCAAUUAAUUGAUUUACAAUAUUUGUAUAACACACCGACAUAUGCAUAUAGCAAAUUACAUCAAUGUAAAAGUCUAAUUGUGUAAACAGCAAGUUUUGCUUGUCUUGUUGACAUAUUUUAGGUUAAUGUUGACACGGUUUAAGAGCUGCUGAUUAUUGCUUGUAUGGCAAUCAAGAGAAAAUACAUCCUAAUGUUUACUGAUAUAUUCAGAGGGAGGGGAAGGGAAGAAAUGUUUAAGAAUUCAGAUUAAAUUAAUUUUCUAUACAAGAUGUGUUUCAAUAAUCCCACAGUAAAUUAAGGCCUAAGUAAUCUAAGUAAUUUGAAGACUAAUGUAAUCUUAAGGACUUUUAGCAGGGAAGAAGAAGACUGAGAAGAAUGAAUCAGUGGACCAGCAGCAGCAUUAUGAUACAUGUGAUGUCUCAGGAAAAUAAGUGGACUUAAAUUUAUUUUGACAUUUACAAUUCAUGCACCUGAACAUCAAAUGGACGUAAGGCCUCCCACAUGGAGCGAGGUGGGGAAGACUGUGAAGCAGGCAAGAUCAGCAUCAGCACCUGGGCCCAAUGGAAUCUCGUAUAGACUCUAUAAGAACACUCCCGGAGCCCGUAAAUACCUCUGGAAGGUGAUGAAGGUGGCUUGGCAGAGGGGAAUGAUACUGAAAGCAUGGAGAAGAUCAGGGGGUAUUCUGAUCCCCAAAGAGAAGGGCUCGUCAUCCAUCAGCCAGUUUCACCAGAUCAGCCUGUUGAAUGUAGAGGGAAAGAUCUUCUUCAGUGUCCUGGCCCAAAGGCUCUCUAGCGUCUUGCACAGAAACAACUUUGUUGAUACAUCAGGGCAGAAGAUGGGGAUCCGGGAUUUCUCAGGAUGUCUGGAGCAUGCCAAUGUCAUCUGGCACCAGAUACAAACUGCCAAAAAGAACGGAGAGACCUACAUGUGGUUUUCUUUGAACUUGCCAACGCCUUUGGUUCAGUCCCUCACAAGAUCUUAGGGACGGCCUUCAUGUAUUUUGGUGUACCAAAGCAAGUCACUGAUUUGGUCAAGAGCUACUUUCAGGAUCUCCAGUUCUGUGUAACAUCUGAGAGUGACACCACUGCCCGGCAGCAUCUGGAGAUUGGCAUUAUGGCAGGCUGCACAAUUUCCCCUCUGGCAUUCAUCAGUGACUAUGGAGUUGGUCAUACGUGCAUCUCGCUGGGUAAACACAGCAGGAACACAUUGGAUGGAACACAAUAGAAAGUGUGAUGCUUUUGUCCUAUUUCCUAAUCUUAUGGAAAUGUUUGUUUUCAUGGUUGAGGCCAAAGAACAUUUUACUGCCUUAGAUGGACAAUAAAGUUUAUUCUUAUUUAUUCUAUUGUAUCAUUAGUUAACAUGAGCUCCAUACAGUUUUCUGACAUUACACAGUUGUAGAGAAAACACUGCUGUUCUAUUUAACAUUAAAAGCAGCAGAAAAGUACC